AGGAAGUGACCGGAGGAGGGGCUGUAGCCACUAGACUCAGGACACUGGCAGGAAGCAGAAGCUGUGACCAGGCCAGUAUCUUCCAGAGGCAAAAGAUCAUCAGGGUGGCUUUUAGCAGUGGGAAUCCCAGAAGAGCCCACACGGCACCCAGUGGAGAGUCGUUUCAGAGAGUGCAGAGCCAGCUCCCAUGAUACCAGUGAAGGACCUUACAGGUCUCUGAACCCGUACGGCAACUCCUGGCCUCCUUUGGUGGCAUUGCCUCCCAGAGAGUAAUCAUUGGAUCCAUUGGUCACACAGAAUCAUUCCGGAGAAUGGAGGUUCUGGGCCUCUUCCUAUAAUCAUUGGACUCUUUGGGGGUGGGAUUCUGGAAUCUACAUUUUAAUAAGAACAGAUAAUUCUUAACAUGCUAAAGUUCCCAGGCAGGAACACUGUGACUGUUAUAUAUUGAAGAGACUUAGGAACAUAGUCUUUUCAUAGGAUUCUGUACAAAUGGUUUGAGUCAGCCAUGAAUGCGAGUGAAAUAGUCAUAACCAUCAUGGGAAGAAACCACAUAGUCAUGUGAGACGUGAAGGUUUCUACCGCACUGGCCAACUGUGAUUGAUCGAUGGUGGAUACCUGGAUCAUGGUGUUGAGAUACAUGACGAGGCUUUGCCUGAACUGGGACAGGAAGAGAGCAACAAUUCAUUAGUAAUGUCUGCCAUGGCCAUAGGUUGGGGAUGGUGGUUGGUGGUGAACAAGUGCCUCCUAUCUGCC
rnacentral:lncRNA from 1 species